rnacentral:rRNA from 1 species
UACGAGGGGUCCAAGCGUUGUUCGGAAUCACUGGGCGUAAAGCGGGUGUAGGCGGCUAAGCAAGUUGGAUGUGAAAGCCCCGGGCUCAACCCGGGAAGUGCAUCCAAAACUACUUAGCUUGAGUACGGUAGAGGAAGGUAGAAUUCCAGGUGUAGUGGUGAAAUACGUAGAUAUCUGGAGGAACACCGGUGGCGAAGGCGGCCUUCUGGACCAGUACUGACGCUCAGACCCGAAAGCGUGGGUAGCAAACAGG